CAGCCAGUUCCAGGAACCCAUGGUUAAUUCCAACUUCUUUCCUCGUCUUCCUGGUGUGCCCAACGCUCUGGAUGAAGUCCGUUUCACAGACUUUACGAUAUUCCAUCUCUCAUUAGAAUAAAGAAGCUAUUUUGUUUAAAUCCUAUAAGUGUGCUUGGUCCUGUUAAAUCAUUUUAAGCUUUAUGAUAUCCCCCUCCCUUGUAUAUCUGCACACUAGACUGGCACAAUGCAUGAUAGCAAUGUCUCGAAUUGCUUGCCGUGUGUGGGUGAAUUCCCACCAACAAUA